rnacentral:rRNA from 1 species
UACGGGGGGGCAAGCGUUGUUCGGAAUUACUGGGCGUAAAGGGUUCGUAGGUGGCCAAUUAAGUCAGACGUGAAAUCCCUCAGCUUAACUGGGGAACUGCGUCUGAGACUGGAUGGCUUGAGUGCAGGAGAGGAACGCGGAAUUCCAGGUGUAGCGGUGAAAUGCGCAGAUAUCAGGAGGAACACCGGUGGCGAAGGCGGGUCUCUGGGCCGAAACUGACGCUGAGGAGCGAAAGCGUGGGGAGCAAACAGG